AGAACUUAGACAUUAUAAAAUAAGGAAAAAGUGUAUCACUAGAUUUGUUUUCGUUUGAAAGCCAAAAGUUUACCUAGUAUCCAUAUAAGGACUGAUUGUAAUCUCAAGUAGCUCUAUAAAACCCAGACGGUACAAGGAAAAUACACACAAAAAAUCAGAUUUCGUGUUACUUUCGUUGCAAUUAUGUUGCAACCAUGUUCAAGAAGAAGGUGAAACUUUUCUAUACACAAAGAAUGAAGGCUAUCGCAAAGAAGAUGAACCAAACCAAGAAAGAUUCAUCGUGCAAGAAAUUUCUCAAGAUAAGGAUCUUGCAAAAAGAAAAAAACCUAGCAGAGGACAUGGUUGUUGAAGAACAGAAAGGACGUCAACUAGCUGAUUAAGCAGGCACUCCAGGAGAUUGAUAAUAAGAUUGUCACAAUUGAUUAAUCAAAUGUUAUUUUAAAUCAUCUAUUUUGAUUUUGAUGUUUUUAAAUUAUCAAUAUGAUUGUUGUCAAGAGUGACAUUGCCUUUAUCACAAAGGCACAUUUGAAUUAAACUUAUGGAUUUGAAUAAAA